AGUCGAGGGGAAACGACAUCGAAAGCUUGCUUUUGAUGGGCGUCGACCGGCGCACGGGUGAGUAACGCGUAUCCAACCUGCCCACCACUUGGGGAUAACCUUGCGAAAGUAAGACUAAUACCCAAUGACGUCUCUAGAAGACAUCUGAAGGAGAUUAAAGAUUUAUCGGUGAUGGAUGGGGAUGCGUCUGAUUAGCUUGUUGGCGGGGUAACGGCCCACCAAGGCGACGAUCAGUAGGGGUUCUGAGAGGAAGGUCCCCCACAUUGGAACUGAGACACGGUCCAAACUCCUACGGGAGGCAGCAGUGAGGAAUAUUGGUCAAUGGACGAGAGUCUGAACCAGCCAAGUAGCGUGCAGGAUGACGGCCCUAUGGGUUGUAAACUGCUUUUAUAAGGGAAUAAAGUGAGUCUCGUGAGACUUUUUGCAUGUACCUUAUGAAUAAGGACCGGCUAAUUCCGUGCCAGCAGCCGCGGUAAUACGGAAGGUCCGGGCGUUAUCCGGAUUUAUUGGGUUUAAAGGGAGCGUAGGCCGGAGAUUAAGCGUGUUGUGAAAUGUAGACGCUCAACGUCUGCACUGCAGCGCGAACUGGUUUCCUUGAGUACGCACAAAGUGGGCGGAAUUCGUGGUAUAGCGGUGAAAUGCUUAGAUAUCACGAAGAACUCCGAUUGCGAAGGCAGCUCACUGGAGCGCAACUGACGCUGAAGCUCGAAAGUGCGGGUAUCGAACAGGAUUAGAUACCCUGGUAGUCCGCACGGUAAACGAUGGAUGCCCGCUGUUGGUCUGAAUAGGUCAGCGGCCAAGCGAAAGCAUUAAGCAUCCCACCUGGGGAGUACGCCGGCAACGGUGAAACUCAAAGGAAUUGACGGGG
rnacentral:rRNA from 1 species